UUACGGCCAUAUCACUUUGAAAUAUUGGUUCUCGUACGAUCACCGAAGUUAAGCAACGUUGAACCUGGCCAAUAUCUAGAUGAGUGACCGCUUGGGAAUACUAGGUGUUGUAAG